UACGGAAGGCAGCAGUGGGGAAUAUUGCACAAUGGGCGCAAGCCUGAUGCAGCCAUGCCGCGUGUAUGAAGAAGGCCUUCGGGUUGUAAAGUACUUUCAGUCGUGAGGAAGGUGUUAAGGUUAAUAACCUUAGCAAUUGACGUUAGCGACAGAAGAAGCACCGGCUAACUCCGUGCCAGCAGCCGCGGUAAUACGGAGGGUGCGAGCGUUAAUCGGAAUUACUGGGCGUAAAGGGCACGCAGGCGGUUAAUUAAGUUGGAUGUGAAAUCCCCGGGCUUAACCUGGGAAUGGCAUUCAAGACUGGUUAGCUAGAGUCUUGUAGAGGGGGUAGAAUUCCAUGUGUAGCAGUGAAAUGCGUAGAGAUGUGGAGGAAUACCGGUGGCGAAGGCGGCCCCCUGGGACAAAGACUGACGCUCAUGUGCGAAAGCGUGGGGAGCAAACAGGGAUUAGGAUACC
rnacentral:rRNA from 1 species